GAUGAACGCUGGCGGCGUGCUUAACACAUGCAAGUCGAACGGAAAGGCUCCUGCUUGCAGGGGUACUCGAGUGGCGAACGGGUGAGUAACACGUGGGUGAUCUGCCCUGCACUUCGGGAUAAGCCUGGGAAACUGGGUCUAAUACCGGAUAGGACCACAUUUUGGAUGGUGUGGUGGAAAGUUUUUCGGUGUGGGAUGAGCUCGCGGCCUAUCAGCUUGUUGGUGGGGUAAUGGCCUACCAAGGCGUCGACGGGUAGCCGGCCUGAGAGGGUGUACGGCCACAUUGGGACUGAGAUACGGCCCAGACUCCUACGGGAGGCAGCAGUGGGGAAUAUUGCACAAUGGGCGCAAGCCUGAUGCAGCGACGCCGCGUGGGGGAUGACGGCCUUCGGGUUGUAAACUCCUUUCGCUAGGGACGAAGCGCAAGUGACGGUACCUGGAGAAGAAGCACCGGCUAACUACAUG
rnacentral:rRNA from 1 species